rnacentral:rRNA from 1 species
UAGAUAUUUUAAAUACAAAAAAUAUUCGCCAGAGAAUUACGAGCUAAACAUGCUUAAAACUCUAAGGACUUGGCGGUACCUCAAACCCACCUAGAGGAGCCUGUUCUAUAAUCGACAAUCCACGAUUCACCUCACCAUCUCUUGCCAACUCCGCCUAUAUACCGCCGUCACAGCUUACCUUAUGAAAGAUAAAAAGUAAGCAAAAUAAUCUAAAUAAUUAACAAAUCAGGUCAAGGUGUAGCUUACUGAGAUGGAAGAAAUGGGCUACAUUUUCUAUACUAGAAAUAACUACGGAAAGAUACCUUGAAACAGGUUCUAUAAGCAGGAUUUAGCAGUAAACUGGGAAAAGAGAGCCCAA